rnacentral:lncRNA from 1 species
CUCAGAUGUAGGGGAGAAGGGGAGCCAGCUGGCUGCGGGACAGAAACAACGUCUGGCCAUUGCCCGGGCCCUUGUACGAGACCCGCGGGUCCUCAUCCUGGAUGAGGCUACUAGUGCCCUAGAUGUGCAGUGCGAGCAGGCCCUGCAGGACUGGAAUUCCCGUGGGGAUCGCACAGUGCUGGUGAUUGCUCACAGGCUGCAGACAGUUCAGCGCGCCCACCAGAUCCUGGUGCUCCAGGAGGGCAAGCUGCAGAAGCUUGCCCAGCUCCAGGAGGGACAGGACCUCUAUUCCCGCCUGGUGCAGCAGCGGCUGAUGGACUGAGGCCCCAGGGAUACUGGGCCCUCUUCUCAGGGGCGUCUCCAGGACCCAGAGCUGUUCCUGCUUUGAGUUUCCCUAGAGCUGUGCGGCCAGAUAGCUAUUCCUGAGUUGCAGGCACGAUGGAGAUUUGGACACUGUGUGCUUUUGGUGGGGUGGAGAGGUGGGGUGGGGUGGGGUGUGGUGGGGUGGAGGCUGUCUGUGUCCAGGAAACUUAACUCCCUGGUGACUAGAGCUUUGCCUGGUGAUGAGGAGUAUUUUGUGGCAUAAUACAUAUAUUUUAAAAUAUUUUCCUUCUUACAUGAACUGUAUACAUUCAUAUAGAAAAUUUAGACAAUAUAAAAAAGUACAAAGAAGAAAAGUAAAAGUACCCAUUGUUUCACUUCCUGGAGAUAACCAUAGUUUGCUGUUUUGCUGCCUGUCCCAUCAGUCGUUUAUCUGUUGUUUGAGAUAGAAAUUAACCAAAAAUGACAUAAAUAUUCAUGAGAUUGCCUUCCUAUAUCCUUCCUUGUUCCUACCAGUGUCUGCUAUUUUGAAGAAGCUAGGGUCUGGAGGGACAGAGAACAGUUCCCUGAUUAACAGUGUUAAUAACGACAUUGGUAACAGCUACCAUUUAUAGAGUUUUAAUGUGAGUAGGAGCUAUGCUAAGUGUUUUUCAUGUAUUAUCGUUUUUAAUCAUUAUCCCCAACCCUAUGAGGUUGGUUAUUAUCCCCAUUUUACAGAUGAGGAAACUGAAGCUCAAAGAGGCUCAAUGACUUUCCUAAGGUGGUCGAAGUGGUGGAGUUGGAGUUUGAACACAGGUCUGACCCUAGAGUCCACACCCUGACCCAAUCAGUUAUAUUGCAUCUUGGGUCCAUAAACCCUAAUCCAUAAUCCCAUCAAGAAAAGCUCUGCUGCAUUUAGCUCUAAAUAAUUCUGAAUCUAUUCUCUUCUCUCUAGUCCCGUUGUUAUAGUCUUCACUCAUAGACUUAAGAUGAUCCCAUCACCAGAGAGGUUUAUCUACCAUUAGCUUCCCUCUUCCGGCCAUUCUUCACAAAGUCAUUUUUCUAAAUUCUGUGUCACAUACGAUGAUGGCAUUUCUGGAAAUUCCUUCAGGUGCUCUCAAGCCCUGCUGCAGAGAUCCUUUUCAGAGCACACACUGUUCCAGCCCAUCUGUCUCACCCUUUCCUGUUGUAUCCAGCUCCACAACAAACUUCUGCCUUCCCCAACACCUUUGUGCCUUUGCAUAUGGUGUUUUCUUGUCCAUUUUCUGCUCGACUCGCCCCUGAUUUUCAAGUUCAAGACAACUCAGAGUUCAGGUCUUCCAGGAGGCCUUACUUAUGUCGUCAGUCUGGGGAACUCUCCAUGUGCUUCUAUCACUGUGCAGUUACCUCUUUCACAGCCCUUUUAAAGUUCUAUCUUCCCUUUCCCACCUUUCUUUCUUUUUUUUUUUUUUUUUUUUUGAGACGGAGUCUCGCUGUGUCUCCCAGGUUGGAGUGCAGUGGCGCGAUCUCGGCUCACUGCAAGCUCCGCCUCCCGGGUUCACGCUUUCCCACCUUUCUUGACCUUCCACUAGACCAUGAGCACCUGGGCGGAAAGCCAUAUAUCUUACUAAGCUUUAUAUCUGCUACCUGGCCGCAGGCCUAAUUCAUAGUGGAGAAUAAAUAAAAAGUCCAUUGAAUAAAUGAAUAAAUAUCUCCUCCAUCGUACUAAUCUUAAUCCUCCCUGCCCACUCCCACCACUGAAAAUGCAACAUUGUACACAUCACUGGUUGUUGGGAGGGACUUACCUUGGAAAGUUGCUAUUCUAGGAAAGAGAAACCUUCAUAUUCCCGGAAACAGCAGGUACUUUCCAGUGCUGGCAAUGAAUUCCCCAGAACUGCUGUUUUGGAUUUUUUCUUGCCUGGCAGCUGUUGGGAGCAGGGUGCAGUGAGGAUGGGGUGAGCGUGGGCAGUUUCUUGUGCAGAUUUGCCUUUCUUUCAUCCUGGGGCUGACUGGCAGCUCCACACCCAUCCAUCUCUCAAAUUUCACAGAGGGUAAAAUAGGCAUUUGGAGAGAAAGAACUCUGGCCUGAUUCCUUUCUCUCCCACAAAUGUCCUUUAUUCAUAAAACAGGAAUAAUAAUUCCUGUAUCUCCCAACUACAUGGAAGCUGCCGCCCUCACAGAAGAAGAUGAUCUGAGAAAUUCUUUGAUUUCCUCAGUACAGUUACACCCAUGCAUCAUAAUACUUUAAGCCUGGAAGGCAUCUUAAAAAUAAUGCAACAGUCAAACCUAAUUUUACAGAGAAACUGACAUGAAAUCACGGAGCUAAUCAUGAUAAAGCUGGGUGGAAAACUUAUCUUGAUGGGCAGCACAGGAAGAUGCAGUAGACCUUAAGAUGUCCUGAAAGUUUCUUAUCUCAGGGGAAACUCCCAGGUAGGCUUUAUGUCAGGGACACAGAAAAAUGCUCCCUGAAAGUCAAAAUAUUCGGGCUAGACAGACAAAUUCCUGUAAGUGUGGUUUGUCUGGGAACCACAGAUGUCACUAAUCCUGGUUUGCUCCAGAGUUCUUUUUGUUCACUCCUACACCCCCAUCACCAUUUGAUUGAUCUCCUUACCCUGUAAUUUCCCCUUCUUGUCGCUUACCUGCAGUAUCUUUCCCACCCAGGCAUGCCUUAUUCUUUCUAAAGGAAAGUAUGAAUGGAGAGGGGAAAGCUUGGGAAACUGAUAGAUUUCCUUGGAUGCCAAAACAACUCCAUAGCCUGUCUGCCCGGCCCUAUGUGGAAACAGCAUUGAGUUUCAAGUCCUUUAUGCCUCCACCCAGGGAUAGCCACUUGGAAUCCACAUGGCAAUUGUGAAACGAGCAGGGAAUGCGUAAUUGUCAGAAUUUUGUGGGGAAAGGACUAGGGAAUAAGGAAAACAAAGAUCUUCCUUGUGUUUUAGAGCUGUCAGCUAGAGGAGCACCUGCUUGAGUCUGAUGCCAUCUAAUGGUCCCAGAAGAUACUGGGUUUUGAACCUAGAGUUCCAUGGACUCUUAGGAAUUAUACUACUACUACUAAGCAUUCACUGGUGCUUACUAUGUGCUAUUGCUGUGCCAAGUAUCUGAAACAUGUCUUCUUACCUUAUUUUUCAAGAUAAUUCUAUGUGGCAGGUAUUACUAUCUCAAUUCUAAGAGUGAGAAAAUGGAGUUUUAGAAACAUUUACUAACUUGCCUGGGUCACAUAGCUAAGGAAGAGGUGGACUUGCCCAGCUUUGCAUAAAACUCCUCAAAAGAGUUGCCUAUACUCCCUG